rnacentral:rRNA from 1 species
AUUGAACGCUGGCGGCGUGCCUAACACAUGCAAGUCGAGCGGUAGCAGGCGUAGCAAUACGUGCUGACGAGCGGCGAACGGGUGAGCAAUGCUUCGGAAUCUGCCCAAUGGUGGGGAAUAACCAGCCGAAAGGUUGGCUAAUACCGCAUACGCCUACGGGGAAGGACAGGGAGUCGCAAGACCUUGCGCCGAUGGAUGAGCCGAAGUCGGAUUAGCUAGUUGGUAGGGUAACGGCCGUACCAAGGCGACGAUCCGUAGCUGGUCUGAGAGGACGACCAGCCACACUGGGACUGAGACACGGCCCAGACUCCUACGGGAGGCAGCAGUGGGGAAUAUUGGACAAUGGGCGAAAGCCUGAUCCAGCGACGCCGCGUGUGUGAAGAAGGCCUGCGGGUUGUAAAGCACUUUUAGUGGGGAUGAAAGCCUAGAGCUAAUACCUCUGGGUCUUGACCUAACCCACAGAAAAAGCACCGGCUAACUCUGUGCCAG